GUCAGCGGUACAGGCUCAGAAGGAAGCCAUCUCGGUCUCUUUCUGGUCUUCAGUGCACAGUGGCCAGGACAGCCUCCCCCACUUCACCGAAUCACAUUUCUUCAGCAGUUUCCAACAGUGAAAUCAUUUCUAGGACAAUGGCUGCUAACACGUGUCAGCUGAAGCACUGCAGAUCGAGUCAUCCAACUCAAGCUUCUUCCUCUUAUUGGAAGGGAUAAACCAGGUGGAAGGGCUCAAAUGCGCUGCUUCUGGAAGCAUCCUGGGUCCCCCUCUGCUCUGCUACCUUUGGCUUGCACCUGAGCCCAGGGCAGGGACAGGAGCAGAUCAGGAGACCCCGAGAGAGUGUGAGCCAGGAGCCAAGACCCUGCGGCACUUACCUGGAGCCAGGAGGAAAGCCCAGGGACCCAAACUUCUGCAGGCGGCACUUACCUGGAGCCAGGAGGAAAGCCCAGGGACCCAAACUUCUGCAGACUGCGCAGGACGCCACUGACCUCGGGAGCCCAGGAGGACGCGCUUCCCAGAAGCCACAGCUGCUGAGAUCGACACUGGCCCAGAGGGUUAAGAGCUUGGACCUUGGCUUCAGGGGCACCUUUGCCCAGAGAAA
rnacentral:lncRNA from 1 species